AACAUUUUCUUCGCUUUGGUCUGCCAUUUCCUUACCUGCUAGUAAUGGUGAUGGAAAUGGCUAGACAAAAGAUGAAAUAUGAUAAUGGUCAGAAGCUGAACAUAUUAGGAGUGGAACGAUGUUCGGAAGGUGACGGCGAACAGGAUGGCUGUGCACUUGCACAGUACGAUGAGUAACCAGUUCACGAAAAGGUUAAGAUGACAGUAAAUUUGUUGCGAUGAAGCUUCACGAUUCACAACUACUCAACACAUGCCGCGAUGAAAGACUACAUUGAAUGGAAGAAAGAGCUCCAUCAGUGAGACGAGUUUAUUUGGACUAGGUGGAGUAUUUGGAGUCUUCAAGAGUCGCACCGGCAUCCGUGUUUCUGCUUUCGUUCCAGCACAUUUCUAUGUCGGUAGCACGUUGGGCGUAUCAAAGGAAAAAUUAAGAAUGCCGAUCUGAAGAAAACAAACAUAAACGAGGUUGCAGAUUCCAUUUGGCAGGAGCUUGGUAUUCAGCGGUGUUUACUUAGUCAAAGUAUAAUACACGACUUUGCUAGAGAA